AUUGAACGCUGGCGGCAGGCCUAACACAUGCAAGUCGAGCGAGCGGCGGACGGGUGAGUAAUGUAUGGGGACUGCCCGAUAGCGGGGGAUAACUACUGGAAACGGUAGCUAAUACCGAAUCCUAUCGGAUAACCCAUAUGGGAUUAGCUAGUAGGUGAGGUAAUGGCUCACCUAGGCUACGAUCCCUAGCUGGUCUGAGAGGAUGAUCAGCCACACUGGGACUGAGACACGCCGCAGACUCGAACGGAGGCAGCAGUGGGGAAGAUUGCACAACGGGCGCAGGCCGAAGGCAGCCAUGACGCGUAUAUGAAGAAGGCCCUAGUGUUGUAAAGUAUCUUCAGUCGGGAGGCGGUACCGACAGAAGAAGCACCGGCUAACUCCGUGCCAGCAGCCGCGGUAAUAC
rnacentral:rRNA from 1 species